UGUAAACAGCAAUAGAUGCCUGCGUAACUCAGGAAGUUGUAAACAAAGGUUUAUUUUGAUUCAUAUUUCAUAACUUUGAUAUUUUAUACAUAAUAGUAUAAACAUAAUGUAUCCCGGAGAUCAAAGUUGUGCAUAAGAUUAUUCUUCUCUCUGGAAAAUUAAGGCUUAAAUAACAAACGUUUGCCUAGAGUUGGUGAUGUAACUUUGAAACGCAGCUGACAGCGUUUGGGUCUGUUUGUAGAAAACAAGUGGAACUGUUAUAAGUGCCUACUGCUCCUGUUACUGAGGCCUUGGACAAUCUUGCAAUCAUGGAGCAGGUUUGCCUUUUCAUGUUGAAUCUGCAAACAGACUGGGAAAAACAUCAUGUCACAUGUGCCUCAAGCUCUGGAAUGUGUAUUUUGGUUUUACUGACAGACAAAAAACCUCCAACCUUCACAAAUCAAGGACAUGAAGUUUAAAAUAUCAAAGCAUGGUAAAGCUUGAAGUAUCAAGACCACUUGUUGGGAAGGAUUAAAAGCAAACUAUGAUGUUAUGGCUCAGACAACCAGAAACACAUCUGAUGAGUACAUACACAAGACUCUGUUAACCUCCCUGAAGGAUGCUCUUUCAAAUGCAUAUGUAUAUAAAGGUACUAGCUGGUUUAAUAAAGAAAGUUUUAAAUAGAUUAAAUACCAUAAUUUAUCAUCAUCUUUACAUGAACAAAUUUCAAAGCAGAUUAAAGCAGACUGAAUAAAGAUUAUGGAACAUACAGAAACAAAAAGUAAAUUACAUGCAUUUAAUUAUAUUGCAUUGUAAGACCCCAGUCUAUGAUAUACUGUUGAUUUUUGUUGUUGUUUUUUAAAAAUAAAAACAGGUAUACAGAGCACUGAUGAGAAUCUUCCUGAGUUACCUAUGGAAAAGGAAGGGGCGACUGCUAUUUUUGUGUGCAAUGCCCAUAAUAACUACCUAGAAAACAUGGUCAUAUACUUAGUGGAUCACAUCUCAGCUCUGAGUCAGAAGUUCAAGCAAUUAACACCAUUACAUGUACCUUCGACUUGUCAUCCGAUGUGAAAACCAUAGCAAAAUCCGAGUUUAUAAAAAUGUUCAGAAAAAAUCAAAAUACAUGUAUGUCAUGUAUGAAAAAUUAAGUUCUUUUGAUUCAUUAUGGAACAUUGUUGUAUACGCCAUGUUUGGUUAAAUUCAUAAGUGAAUUAAAUUAUAUACCUAGUAAAUGUUAUGAGGCUAAGUUAUGAGGCCAUCAGUUUUAUUUUUGUUUGAUGUACAGAUCUGUGCCAAAAGUGAAAAUAAUUAUAUAUUUUCUCUAUAUAUUUCACUAACAUCAACAUUUGUAAAAGCACUAGCAAAUGGGUCAAUUUUUGUCCAAUUUCUUUUUUUAUUUCAUUACUUAAACCAGAAAAUAUGUAAUUCUCUUAUUUUAAAAAGCUUAUUAGAUAUAAAGAUAGUUCAUCACUUAACAUCAGUUCUAAAAUUCAAGAUCAAUGUUGACAAUGUAAUUCAUUGUGAGUAUGUUACUUAAAUUUUCAUGUCGCAUUUAUAAAAUUAAAAUAAUUUUAACAUAUGGAUGCUGAUCUGAUUAAAAACUAAUUUUUUGUCAAGUAAGACAAUUUCUUGGAUUAUCAAGAAAUUUGUGUUAAAAUUUGUCAAGAAUUUUUGUCAUACAGAAUGUUGUUUUCAAUGAAAUAUGUAUAGAGAAAAAAAUAUAUAUCUUCACUUUUUGCAUGCAUCUGUACCCCGACCCACAUUUUUCAAGAUUAUUACAUGUAGGUAGGGUUAUAUACAUGUAAUAUAAUUUCAUAUUGAUCUUUUUUCUUUUUUUUUAUUUAUUUUGUGUGUGUGUAUGUUUUGCAAAAUUAAAUGUUCAACCCUAUAUUACCAGUGACAUACAUGUAUAUGUUUUGUGGAAUUCAUAAAUGAACUGAAUUGAAUGAAUAUGAGGUCAAUAUUUCUUUUUCUUAGUACAUGUACUUUGGAAGGGUUGGAUACAUGUGAACAUUGGUUUGGGGCAUGAUGCAGGGUACCCCAGUUCAA